rnacentral:rRNA from 1 species
GAGUUUCUGGGACGUUUGUCCGCUUUCUAAUACAAGUUCUAGCUUGCUAGACAUGACUUUUUUAUUAUCUGGCCUCAAAUCAGGUAGGACUACCCGCUGAACUUAAGCAUAUCAAUAAGCGGAGGAAAAGAAACUAACAAGGAUUCCCCUAGUAACGGCGAGUGAAGCGGGAAGAGCUCAAAUUUGAAAUCUGGUGGCCUCAGGCUAUCCGAGUUGUAAUCUAUAGAAACAUUUUCCGCGUUGGCCCAUGUACAAGUCUCUUGGAAUAGAGCGUCAUAGAGGGUGAGAAUCCCGUCCUUGACAUGGACUACCAGUGCUUUGUGAUAUGUUUUCAACGAGUCGAGUUGUUUGGGAAUGCAGCUCAAAAUGGGUGGUAAAUUCCAUCUAAAGCUAAAUAUUGGCGAGAGACCGAUAGCGAACAAGUACCGUGAGGGAAAGAUGAAAAGCACUUUGGAAAGAGAGUUAAACAGUAUGUGAAAUUGUUGAAAGGGAAACGAUUGAAGUCAGUCGUGUCUAUUGGACUCAGCCGGUUCUGCCGGUGUACUUCCUUUAGAUGGGGUCAACAUCAGUUUUGAUCGCUGGAAAAGGGCAGGAGGAAUGUAGCACUCUCGGGUGAACUUAUAGCCUUCUGUCGCAUACAGUGGUUGGGACUGAGGAACGCAGCUUGCCUUUAUGGCCGGGAUAUCCAC